rnacentral:rRNA from 2 species
AUCUUCGGACCUUGCGCUAAUAGAUGAGCCUAAGUCGGAUUAGCUAGUUGGUGGGGUAAAGGCCUACCAAGGCGACGAUCUGUAGCGGGUCUGAGAGGAUGAUCCGCCACACUGGGACUGAGACACGGCCCAGACUCCUACGGGAGGCAGCAGUGGGGAAUAUUGGACAAUGGGGGGAACCCUGAUCCAGCCAUGCCGCGUGUGUGAAGAAGGCCUUAUGGUUGUAAAGCACUUUAAGCGAGGAGGAGGCUACUUUAGUUAAUACCUAGAGAUAGUGGACGUUACUCGCAGAAUAAGCACCGGCUAACUCUG